GGGGCUGUAGCUCAGUGGCAGAGUGCUUGCCUAGCAUGCAUGAGGCACUGGGUUUGAUCCUCAGCACCA
rnacentral:tRNA from 1 species